CUUGCUUCAACAGUGCUUGGACGGAACAGACCCGGGGACGACUCCUUUCCACCACCAACUACCUCUCCACUCACCACCUCUGACCCUUAUCUUCUUGCCCGUCGCCUGCUUCCAGGACCAACCAAUGCCAUUUUUUUCUGUGGUUAGCUCUGUAUUGACGACCAGCCAUGACCUCUCAGAUUCGUCAGAAUUAUUCCACCCAGGUGGAGGCUGCUGUCUACCGCCUGGUCAACUUGCAUCUGCGGGCCUCCUACAUCUGCCUCUCUCUGGGCUACUAUUUCGAUCGCGAGGAUGUGGCUCUGGAGGGGGUGGGCCAUUUCUAUUGCGAGAUGGCUGAGGAGAAGAAUGAGGGCGCCUAGUGCCUCCUGAAGAUGGAGAACCAGGAUGUGCAGAAACCUUCUCAGGAUGAGUGGGGUAAAACCGUGGAAGCCAUGGAAGCCGCCUUGGCCCUGGAGAAGAGCCUGAACUAAGCCAUUGUGGAUCUUCAUGCCUUGGGUUCUGCCCGCACAGACCCCCAUCUCUGUGACUUCCUAGAAAACCACUUUCUGGAUGAAGAGGUGAAGCUCAUCAAGAAGAUGGGCGACCACUUAACCAACCUUCGCAGGCUGGGGGCGGCCCCUCAGGCCCAGCUGGGCGAGGAUCUUUUCUAAUGCCUCACUCUCAAACACGACUAG